GGGUAUAGCUCAGUGGUAGAGCACAUACUUAGCAUGCACGACGUCCUGGGUUCAAUUCCCAGUACCUCCA
rnacentral:tRNA from 1 species